rnacentral:tRNA from 1 species
GGGGUCGUGGCUCAGUGGUAGAGUACUUGCCUAGCACAUAUGAGACACUGGGUUCAAUCCUCAGCACCACA